AAAGUCGUAACAAGGUUUCCGUAGGUGAACCUGCGGAAGGAUCAUUAACGAUUGACCUGAAAUAUGGACAAUUGAAUCCAUAUCCACCUUGUGUGCACCUAACGAAAGCGUGCUUUGGCAGGAGGAGUCUCGGCACCCGCGAGGGGGCUCGAGCGAGGGUCCCGUUUCCUUUCGAAACCACACCGAUUUCUUUAUUGGUGAGGAUUUCGGGAGGAAGGGGGAACCUCGGCCUGCCAGAGUUGUCGUUCCAACCCACGCCUUUAAACUCGUCCUGAACUUGAGAACUUUCGCUCCAACGCGAAAACGAUAUUAACGAAUAAAUAAAACUUUCAACAACGGAUCUCUUGGCUCUC
rnacentral:misc_RNA from 1 species